rnacentral:rRNA from 1 species
AUUGAACGCUGGCGGAAUGCUUUACACAUGCGAGUCGAGCGGCAGCACGGGGGCAACCCUGGUGGCGAGCGGCGAACGGGUGAGUAAUACAUCGGAACAUGCCCAGUCGUGGGGGAUAACACUUCGAAAGAAGUGCUAAUACCGCAUACGUCCUGAGGGGGAAAGCGGGGGAUCGCAAGACCUCGCGCGAUUGGAGUGGCCGAUGUCAGAUUAGCUAGUUGGUGGGGUAAAGGCCUACCAAGGCAACGAUCUGUAGCUGGUCUGAGAGGAUGAUCAGCCACACUGGGACUGAGACACGGCCCAGACUCCUACGGGAGGCAGCAGUGGGGAAUUUUGGACAAUGGGGGCAACCCUGAUCCAGCCAUUCCGCGUGAGUGAAGAAGGCCUUCGGGUUGUAAAGCUCUUUCGGCAGGAACGAAACGGUGAGCUCUAACAUAGCUUGCUAAUGACGGUACCUGAAGAAGAAGCACCGGCUAACUACGUG